rnacentral:ncRNA from 1 species
UAAAAAUUUUAUUUUAGUUUAAAAAUUAAGUUUUAUUUUUUAUUAUAUGUAAAUUUUUUUAAAGAAUUAAUAGCAGUAAUUAAAUUUAAAUUUUCAAGAAAUUGUGAUUUAGUAAUAAUAUUUAAUAUAAACAAAAUUUGUGCCAGCAGUUGCGGUUAUACAAAUUAUAUAAUUUAAUUUUUUUAAAUUUAAAUUAAUUUGUUAAAAAAUUUUUAAUUUUAAUUAAUUAAGUGAAAUUAUUAAUUAAUAUAAAAAUUUAUUUAUUUAAAUGAUUUGAUAAAUUUUAUUAAUAAACUAGGAUUAGAUACCCUAUUAUUUAAAAUAUAAAAUAAUAAUUUAAUUAUUAAUAGGUAUGUUCUUUAAAAUUAAAAAAUUUGGCGGUAUUUUAGUCUAUUUAGAGGAACCUGUUUUAUAAAUGAUAUUCCACGAUUUAAUUUACUUAUUUUAUUAGUUUAUAUAUCGUUGUUUUAAAAUAUUUUUAUAGAAUAUUAAUAUUUAAUAUUUUUUAUUAAAGUUUAAUUCAGAUCAAGAUGUAAUUUAUAAAUAAGAAAAAAUGGGUUACAUUAAAUAUAUUUAAGGAUUUUUAAUUUUUAAAAUUAUUUGAAUUUGGAUUUAAUAGUAAUUAAAAUUAAUUAAUUUUAAUGAUUUAGCUCUAAAAUAUGUACAUAUUGCCCGUCGCUUUCAUUUAAAAUGGAAUAAGUCGUAACAAAGUAGAUUUACUGGAAAGUGAAUCUAGAUUCAA